UGGGGAAUUUUCCGCAAUGGGCGUAAGCCUGACGGAGCAAUACCGCGUGAGGGAUGAAGGCUCGUGGGUCGUAAACCUCUUUUCCCAAGGAAGAAGUUCUGACGGUACUUGGGGAAUAAGCAUCGGCUAAUUCCGUGCCAGCAGCCGCGGUAAUACGGGAGAUGCGAGCGUUAUCCGGAAUCACUGGGCGUAAAGCGUCUGUAGGUGGUUUGUUAAGUCUGUUGUUAAAAACUGAAGCUCAACUUCAGGGGUGCGGCAGAAACUGGCAAACUUGAGUAUGGUAGGGGUAGGAGGAAUUUCUAGUGUAGCGGUGAAAUGCGUAGAUAUUAGGAAGAACACCAUUAGCGAAGGCGUCCUACUGGGCCAAAACUGACACUCAGAGACGAAAGCUAGGGGAGCAAACGGG
rnacentral:rRNA from 1 species